GUGGUGUAGCUCAGUGGUAGAAUAUGUGCCUAGCAUGUGUAAGGCUCUGGAUUCAAUCCCCAAUACUACA
rnacentral:tRNA from 1 species